CUAGACUGGCACUACAGCAUUUUAUGUUUUAACUUAAAGCUAUCUUUCGGUUAUAGCUUGCUUUGUGUCCCAUACAUAUGUGGUGGCAAUUUUACCAACCAUCUUGGAAUUAUUUUUAUGUAAAUGCUUUGGGUGAAUUUAGUAUUAAAAAUGUGAGAUUAGGGAUGUCAUACACAUAUGAUAUCAUAGCAACUACAAUGAGC